rnacentral:rRNA from 1 species
GAUUAACGCUGGCGGCGUGCAUAACACAUGCAAGUCGAACGAUGAAACUUAAAUGAUUUCUUCGGAAUGAACUUAAGUGGAUUAGUGGCGGACGGGUGAGUAACGCGUGAGUAACCUGCCUUACACAAGGGGAUAGCCGUUGGAAACGACGAAUAAUACCCUAUGAAACUAUCACUUCGCAUGAAGCGAUAGUCAAAGUGUUAGCGGUGUAAGAUGGACUUGCGUCUGAUUAGCUAGUUGGUGAGAAAAAAGCCCACCAAGGCAACGAUCAGUAGCCGGCUGGAGAGAGUGUACGGCCACAUUGGGACUGAGACACGGACCAGACUCCGACGGGAGGCAGCAGUGGGGAAUUUUGCACAAUGGGGGAAACCCUGAUGCAGCGACGCCGCGUGAUUUAGAAGGCCUUCGGGUUGUAAAAAUCUUUUGUAUAGGAAGAAAAUGACAGUACUAUACGAAUAAGGUCCGGCUAAUUACGUG